rnacentral:rRNA from 1 species
ACGGCUCAGUAACACGUAGUCAACAUGCCCAGGGGACGUGGAUAACCUCGGGAAACUGAGGAUAAACCGCGAUAGGUCAUAAUGUCUGGAAUGAUUUAUGGCUGAAAUCUACAUGGCCCCUGGAUUGGACUGCGGCCGAUCAGGCUGUUGGUGAGGUAAUGGCCCACCAAACCUAAAACCGGUACGGGCUCUGAGAGGAGAAGCCCGGAGAUGGGUACUGAGACACGGACCCAGGCCCUAUGGGGCGCAGCAGGCGAGAAACCUUAGCAAUGUGCGAAAGCACGACUGGGUCAGUCCGAGUGAUUCCUGAUAAAGGAGUCUUUUGCUUGUCCUAAAAGCACAGGUGAAUAAGGGGUGGGCAAGUCUGGUGUCAGCCGCCGCGGUAAUACCAGCACCUCGAGUGGUCAGGACGUUUAUUGGGCCUAAAGCAUCCGUAGCCGGCUCUGCAAGUCUUCGGUUAAAUCCACCUGCUCAACAGAUGGGCCGCUGGAGAUACUACAGAGCUAGGGAGUGGGAGAGGCAGACGGUAUUCAGUGGGUAGGGGUAAAAUCCUCUGAUCCAUUGAGGACCACCAGUGGCGAAGGCGGUCUGCCAGAACACGUUCGACGGUGAGGGAUGAAAGCUGGGGGAGCAAACCGGAUUAGAUACCCGGGUAGUCCCAGCUGUAAACGAUGCAAACUCGGUGAUGCAUUGGCUUAUGGCCAAUGCAGUGCCGCAGGGAAGCCGUUAAGUUUGCCGCCUGGGAAGUACGGACGCAAGUCUGAAACUUAAAGGAAUUGGCGGGGGAG